GAACGCUGGCGGUAGGCCUAACACCUGCAAGUCGAACGGCAGCACAGUAAGAGCUUGCUCUUACGGGUGGCGAGUGGCGGACGGGUGAGGAAUACAUCGGAAUCUACUUUUUCGUGGGGGAUAACGUAGGGAAACUUACGCUAAUACCGCAUACGACCUACGGGUGAAAGCAGGGGAUCUUCGGACCUUGCGCGAUUGAAUGAGCCGAUGUCGGAUUAGCUAGUUGGCGGGGUAAAGGCCCACCAAGGCGACGAUCCGUAGCUGGUCUGAGAGGAUGAUCAGCCACACUGGAACUGAGACACGGUCCAGACUCCUACGGGAGGCAGCAGUGGGGAAUAUUGGACAAUGGGCGCAAGCCUGAUCCAGCCAUACCGCGUGGGUGAAGAAGGCCUUCGGGUUGUAAAGCCCUUUUGUUGGGAAAGAAAAGCAGCAGGUUAAUACCCCGCUGUUCUGGCGGUACCCAAAGAAUAAGCACCGGCUAACUUCGUG
rnacentral:rRNA from 1 species